GGAAAGGGGGAAUAGAUGAGGGAGAGAAAUUAGAGAGAAGAUAGAUUUUGUAUUUGAUUACUCUGCAGUGACACAACUGGAGAUCAUUUCUUUUACAACAACACAACUAACUGACAAGUUAACCAACAGCAAGCUAACUAACAGGAGGCUAGACAGCAGCUAAUCUCCAUUAGUCUUAACAUUAUUUAUAUGAACCUUAAGAGAACUACAUCCAAAAAGCUAGCUAGUUUGGUGGGAGAGCCCAAGUCCAUAUAAACCCUACACCAAAGUCCAUACCUUGCAACUAGGAUAUUAACAUUCCCCUGUAGUUAUACACCUUAUUGCUAUUGACAUUGGCCUGGCUUUGGCUCUUCCGUUAGACUACACAUAAUUUUAAUUUGGUUUGCUGGAUACCCCUUUCCAAGUCUUGCAAUGAGGCUAUCAUUAAUUUUAAUCUAGCCUAUAAGGUGUACCCACUUUACAAGUCUCGAGCUGUGUGUGCAUGUAGGUUGGCUCUGAUACCAAUUCGUAUUAACCUUAGGAGAACCACCCCCAAAGUUAGCUAUUGAGGUGGGAGAGCCCAUAUUCAUAUAAACCCCACACCAUAGUGCCAUGCCUUCAAUGUGGGAUCCAAGUCCCUUACCUUGUACCUAGGAUUGUAACAUUGUGAAUUUGUGAUUUUAUAUUUGUCAUCCUCUUUAUAGCUCAUUCUAUUCUUUUUUACUCAUUUUGAAUUUUUUU
rnacentral:misc_RNA from 1 species